rnacentral:lncRNA from 1 species
UUUUUAUCAAAACUCAUUGAUGAUUAAUAGACAGCGAAAAGGUAUUUAGGUUGAAUAUUGUAACAGUCACUAUGAAAAAAUUGGGGGAAAUAUUUGAUGAAGAAGAUUAUGGUUUCUAGGAAGAAGAAGAAGGUUGAGGUUUGAAUAUUGAGCACAAAACUAGGUUUUUUUGGUUGAGUAUGGUGAUUAUUAGGAUGGAGAAUAAGUGUUUGGACACAAAAGAGAUGUUUUUUUUUGUUGAAGGUUGUGAUUUUGAGAUGGA